GCAGUGGUGGGUCUGUGGUAGAAGUCUCGUCUUCCACGUGGGAGACCCGGGUUUGAUUCCCGGCCAGUGUG
rnacentral:tRNA from 1 species